AAGAAUUUAGUUUAAGAAAAACAUUAACUUGUCAAGUUAAAGAAAUAUUUAAAUAAUAUAUAAUUCUUA
rnacentral:tRNA from 1 species